CUCAAGCUCCAGCCGUACGCUCAAUCUUCCAUCGUCAACCGCCCCUGCCGCAAGCUCUCAUACAAGUUCUAUGGCCCGUUCUUGGUGAUCGAGCGCAUUGGCUCCCUGGCAUACCCACUGCAGCUGCCUCCGGACAGCCGCGUCCAUCAGGUAUUCCACGUCUCCCAAUUGAAGCCUUUCACCCCUGAUUAUACUCCUGUCUUCGCGGAACUGCCCAGGGUACCGGACCUCGCCGCUGGCGAGUCUGAACCAAUCGCCAUCCUGGAUCGCCGCAUGAUGAAAAAGGGAGACGCUCCAGUCGUCCAAUUGCUUGUUCAGUGGGCCAACAUGCCACCGGUGGCCACCACCUGGGAGGACUACGACAUCCUACGGCAACGUUAUCCGUCGGCCUGCAUCUGGGAGGAAGCUGCUUCUCAAGGAGGGGACAAUGUCACGCCUGCAGAUGAUACAUCUGCAGCGGACUGA
rnacentral:rRNA from 1 species